rnacentral:rRNA from 1 species
GACGAACCCGUGCGAACGUUAUUCGGAAUCACUGGGCUUAAAGCGCGUGUAGGCGGGACGGCACGUCGGUCGCUGAAAGCCCCCGGCUCAACCGGGGAACGGGCGCCGAUACGACCGCCCUGGAGGGACGUAGGGGAACCUGGAACUUCCGGUGGAGCGGUGAAAUGCGUUGAGAUCGGAAGGAACGCCCGUGGCGAAAGCGAGGUCCUGGACGUCUGCUGACGCUGAGACGCGAAAGCGUGGGGAGCGAACAGGAUUAGAAACCCC